UACAGAGGGGGCAAGCGUUGUUCGGAAUUACUGGGCGUAAAGGGCGCGUAGGCGGCCGCCUAAGUCAGACGUGAAAGCCCUCGGCUCAACCGAGGAACUGCCUUGGAUACUGUGGGGCUCGAGGCUGGAAGAGGGCAGUGGAAUUCCCGGUGUAGCGGUGAAAUGCGUAGAUAUCAAGAGGAACACCUGAGGUGAAGACGGGUUGCUGGGCUGACACUGACGCUGAGGCGCGAAAGCCAGGGGAGCAAACGGG
rnacentral:rRNA from 1 species